rnacentral:rRNA from 1 species
AUCACGGGAGACACACGGCGGGUGCUAACGUCCGUCGUGAAGAGGGAAACAACCCAGACCGCCAGCUAAGGUCCCAAAGUCAUGGUUAAGUGGGAAACGAUGUGGGAAGGCCCAGACAGCCAGGAUGUUGGCUUAGAAGCAGCCAUCAUUUAAAGAAAGCGUAAUAGCUCACUGGUCGAGUCGGCCUGCGCGGAAGAUGUAACGGGGCUAAACCAUGCACCGAAGCUGCGGCAGCGAACGUAUCACUUAAAGCGAUUCAGCGGGUUACGAUUGACGGAGCGAAGCGACGUCAAAGCGUAUACAAAGUCGAGUCGGCUUAAGGAUACGUUCGUUGGGUAGGGGAGCGUUCUGUAAGCCCGUGAAGGUGGCCUGUGAGGGUUGCUGGAGGUAUCAGAAGUGCGAAUGCUGACAUAAGUAACGAUAAAGCGGGUGAAAAGCCCGCUCGCCGGAAGACCAAGGGUUCCUGUCCAACGUUAAUCGGGGCAGGGUGAGUCGACCCCUAAGGCGAGGCCGAAAGGCGUAGUCGAUGGGAAACGGGUUAAUAUUCCCGUACUUGGUGUUACUGCGAAGGGGGGACGGAGAAGGCUAUGUUGGCCGGGCGACGGUUGUCCCGGUUUAAGCGUGUAGGUGUGUGUUCCAGGUAAAUCCGGUUCACUUUAACACUGAGGCGUGACGACGAGGCACUACGGUGCUGAAGCAACAAAUGCCCUGCUUCCAGGAAAAGCCUCUAAGCAUCAGGUAACACGAAAUCGUACCCCAAACCGACACAGGUGGUCAGGUAGAGAAUACCAAGGCGCUUGAGAGAACUCGGGUGAAGGAACUAGGCAAAAUGGUGCCGUAACUUCGGGAGAAGGCACGCUGACACGUAGGUGAAGUGAUUUACUCAUGGAGCUGAAGUCAGUCGAAGAUACCAGCUGGCUGCAACUGUUUAUUAAAAACACAGCACUGUGCAAACACGAAAGUGGACGUAUACGGUGUGACGCCUGCCCGGUGCCGGAAGGUUAAUUGAUGGGGUCAGCGUAAGCGAAGCUCCUGAUCGAAGCCCCGGUAAACGGCGGCCGUAACUAUAACGGUCCUAAGGUAGCGAAAUUCCUUGUCGGGUAAGUUCCGACCUGCACGAAUGGCGUAAUGAUGGCCAGGCUGUCUCCACCCGAGACUCAGUGAAAUUGAACUCGCUGUGAAGAUGCAGUGUACCCGCGGCAAGACGGAAAGACCCCGUGAACCUUUACUAUAGCUUGACACUGAACAUUGAGCCUUGAUGUGUAGGAU